UACGGAGGAUGCAAGCGUUAUCCGGAAUGAUUGGGCGUAAAGCGUCCGCAGGUGGCAAUGUAAGUCUGCUGUCAAAGCGUCUGGCUCAACCAGAUAAAGGCAGUGGAAACUACAUAGCUAGAGUAAGGUAGGGGUAGAGGGAAUUCCUGGUGUAGCGGUGAAAUGCGUAGAGAUCAGGAAGAACACCGGUGGCGAAGGCGGCAUCCUGGACCAACACUGACGCUGAGUGAGCGAAAGCCAGGGGAGCAAACGGG
rnacentral:rRNA from 1 species